CCAAUAGCGUAUAUUAAAGUUGUUGCAGUUAAAAAACUCGUAGUUGAAUUUCGGGAUCAAUAUGUCGGUCGUGCCUCGGUACGUACUGGCAUCGUUGGUUUCUCCCUUCUGAAGAACCAGGAUGUCAUUCAUUUGGUGUCGCGGGGAAUCAGGACUGUUACUUUGAAAAAAUUAGAGUGUUUAAAGCAGGCUCACGCUUGAAUACAUUAGCAUGGAAUAAUGAAAUAGGACGUUUGAUUCUAUUUUGUUGGUUUCUAGGAUCGACGUAAUGAUUAAUAGGGAUAGUUGGGGGCAUUAGUAUUCAAUUGUCAGAGGUGAAAUUCUUGGAUUUAUUGAAGACUAACUACUGCGAAAGCAUUUGCCAAGGAUGUUUUCAUUAAUCAAGAACGAAAGUUAGGGGAUCGAAGACGAUCAGAUACCGUCGUAGUCUUAACCAUAAACUAUGCCGACUAGGGAUCGGAUGAUGUUAAUUUUUUAAUGACUCAUUCGGCGCCUUACG
rnacentral:rRNA from 1 species